GCCUCACUAAGGAGCAGGCUUCAUUUUCUGCCCAGUGCUGCUGUUCUUGGAAGCCUACUCAAUGUAGUUGAAGGCCACAUUCAUUGCAUCUGGCUAAAAUGUACCGAAUAGACCCAACUGUUUCUUCAGCUGGAGAUCUGUGAACUGCUUCCUGGCGGUGGUAUCAGCCUGUGGAGUCCUUACACACAACGUGGAGGCAUCUGGAGAAAUCACAUUUUCAUAAUGUAGCAGCAAUAAGUCAUCAUUUGUUCCACUUAUAUCGGAUCCACUCUGCAAAUCUGAUAGGAAGAUUUCUCCCUGGGGAUCUCAUCCUACUUCCUUUACUUGUUCACUGAAGACCAUGAGAACCACACAAGUGGGGUGCUCUAUGGGAAGAAUACACAGCAGUCAGGGAGAGAGAGAUGAGCUGGUAAACUAAUACAGCUUUAGAAAACUUCUGUACAGAGAUUGAGGUGCACCGCCAACACCAACAUCGUUAUACAUGAGUUCUGCCUAAAUGAAGUGCAGGGAACUUUCUGUGCAGCAGAGGCCCACAUCACAACCAAAGCAUGUGAGGAUAACUGCCUCUACAAGAACAUGAGUUCUUUUCCCUCCUCACUGAACAUGCUUUGUGCUCCCCUCAGGACUCAUGACAGUUUAGUGGAGAAGAGCUGUGCUUCCCAGUUAUGUUAAAAACUAAUGCUUGGUUCUCUGGGGUACCUGUUGACUUUGAUCGGUGUUAUAAGCCCCCCGGUGAUGGGCUGCAGUAGAAAAAGCAGUUGCCACUGGAGAUGAACACAAGGUGAGAAAAAAACUGAACAAAAAUAUGGCAUUGUUCUUUUUAAACUGCAAAUUCAAGUCAAAGGUGUGAACACCAUAACCUUCAAAUGAUAAGUGUGCAGACAAAUCUUUCAGAUGCACUCUGAGAGCUAUUUUGGAAGACAUAACCACAAGCCUCUUGAGUUAGAUGUAGUGAUUGCAUAGAUGUAGACUGCCCUGGCAAAAUGUCUUUUCAUAACCAAGGCAGAGGAUUUCAUUAAGAGUGCAUUCAUUAAGUUAUCUUUUCUCUGCCUCUCUUAGUUAAUUUGCUUUCUGAGGCUCUCCCAAUGUCUCAGCUCAAAGGAGAGUAUGUCAAGAAGAAUUUUCAGUUCUUCCAGAAGCUCGUUUCUGUCUGGUGUAAGUUGGGAGGGAAGGAACUCCAAAAGAAACAACACCCUCUUCAUAAUAACCAUUAGCCAAAGAGGCUCAGCUAUUACUGGUACAAAGAAUCUCAGCUGGUUAAACUGCCUACAUUUCUCUCUGAAGUUAACAGUAGAAUAGCCAAGUAGAAUUCAUUCCCCAGAUGUUACAAGUGCUCUGAAAUAUGUUUGAAACUAUCUAAAUACUUUACACUUCUUAUAAAUUCAUAACUUGAUCCCAGAAGAGGAUCCAGUGCAUUCACCAUGGACUAAUAAACAUUUAGAAAAGUUAAAUUACUUAGAGAUAUUUAAGUAUCAUACAAAUAUGUGUAAAGUGUAGACACUCUCCAGCAUAAAACCCAACCUGCAAAGAUCUUUGUCUAUUUAAUUGCAUUUUGGUUCACCCAUUUAAUAAAGAGGAUUAUUUUUUAACCUCUCCAGUUCCAAACAGAACUUCAGAUUCUAUUACAACAGAGUGGAAGAAGAGAAAUCUUAAACCAAGGGCAUUUAGUCACCUGCAGAGUGAGAGAGAUUGAAAAGGAAAAUGGAUUUACUGCCUUCCACAUCAGUUUGCAGGCAAUUUGUGUUUGAAUUCCUCUUAAAUCAAUUUCUGCAUAAUAUUAGUGGUCUGAAAUGAUGCAAAAUGGUAUUGGAACACAGCUUCCUUUUGCAACACAGAUAAAUUCUCUCCUUGAGCCUUGUUAUUCUUCUAGUCAUCUGUUUUCCUUUCAUUUAUUCUUUCAUGAUGUCUGUGCCUUCUGACGAGUGAAACGUGAAUAGGAAGUGGGAAGGAGCAAGCUUUGUCUCUACUGCCAGUGUGCCUCAUACAUUUGUGAAGAAGCAGACCUGCGUCAUAAAACCAACCGAAAGCCACGGAGUUACCUCUCUAAAAAAUGUAAUGGACUGUACUGAAAGCCUAACUUUGACUGAUGUGAGGUUUGGGACUUUAUCCAGGUCCUUUUCAAGACACUGAGAUAUCAAGGCUCGGAUUUUCAGUCGUUGACUUCAGCAAAAGCUGCACUUCUCUUUACAACAGACUAAUUGAAGGGAAAAAAUCCAAACCUGUAGGAUGUGGGAGUCUGAUCUUACUAUGGAAAAAGGAAGAGACAUUGAUUCCUCUAUUCCACUGGCCACAAAGCCUAUUCUGGAUAGAGGAAUUGAGAUGUUGCUGAGCUUUCAUUUUAAUAGACAUGGGAGCAUCAAAAGGCAAAGUAGAGUUUCUUAAGGAGGAGUUUGAAGAUGAGUGAAGUAACUUUACUGUUCUUUACAAGGAACCUUUCUGCAGCCCGAGCUACCAGCUGGUAGAUACCAUGAUCUGCUCUGCUAAUGACAUCAAGUUGGGUCCCCCUGUGUUUUGGGGUUUUUUUUUUAAGGAAGAAAGCAUAAGUAACAUUGACUGAAAAUCCUUAAUGAUGGAAGCAAAGGAAAUGAUAGGCUGGGCAAAGAGCCAUCCGUCCCUGGUGUCUCAUGGUGGCUGUCUGUGAGUGGCCAUGCCCUAGGAGUUCCCUCUUCCGUGCUGCACACGCCUGCCCCUGUGCCGUAGUCCGUAGUCCAUGAGUCCUGGAAGAUGCCACUGCAGCUGUCUCUGGACCCAUCUUGCAAACAACCUCUUUUGCAGGGCCUGAGGCAAUGUGCAAUAUUGCUGUGCCAUGAGUCUGGAUGUGGCUGACCCAGAGAGCCUCACAGGAUACAAGAAUUCAACAGGGGGGACACACAGGGGAGAGCAGGAAUGAUUUUUUUAACUGGAACCUCAGCCAAAUGUCAACAGAAUUUUGGUCCCAGGCCUACUUGAUCUUGUCCAUUUGGCACUGCUGGAGGAAUAACAAGUUUCUUCCCAUCAUGCACCUUUCUGGGAUACAUCAUGACAGAGAAAUCUCAAAGCCCAGGUCAAUUAUAACAGAAGAUGUGUAGUACCUCUGCCCCCACAGCGUCUUCUGGGGAUCCACUCAGCAAAAUGAUAUAAAACUAUUUCCGAAGACUUCCCAUGGUCUGGCACUACUUAGAACUAAGUAACUGGCAAAAUAAAAUGGAGUGACUUUGGUGGAAAGACUCAGAUGUGCCUUUAUGCAGCCCUGCUCUGGACAGCCCACGGUCUGCAGAACGGCAGAGGUCUGCCUUCAAGUUACUGCAGGCAGAAGAGGGGACAGACUCAUAAGUCCGGCAUUCACCAAGAUGAUCUGGUAUAAAGCACCACCCAAUAAGUCUUACACCUUGACACUGGAAGAAAUUGCAUCACAUUGCCAUGAAAAAACACAACGUAGUGAAAACAGUGAGAUUAGACAUAAACUUGCAAGGUCUGCUUGUAAUGUGGAGCAACAAUACAUGAACAUACUGUUCUGCUGCUGCUACUCUGGAGAAAGAAUGAAGGUAAAACGUGUGAGAAAGCCACAGUUAAAUUACUCGCUAUUAGCCCCUACAGUGUGCUUCCAACCUGCAUUGAUAUAUAUAUACAGAGAGAGCUAGAAUGUCACAGUUAAAUUUUUUUUACUAGUAUAAUGAGGAAAGAGACCAACAGAAGAAGUUCCCUUGGCUAAUUUUCUAGCCAGCAGCCACUGCAAUGUUCCCACUAGGAGAGACUGAAGAAGUGAGAGAGUGAUAUAAUAAAUAAUGACUGGCUCUGCUGGUAAGGAGAAAUUAUCACUGUGCUUGGGGGAUCUAAGUAUGUGCUCACCCAAGAUACGGAGAGGGGGAGGGGGCCAGGAGCACUCUGUUGUGUCUUGAGAAGAACAUUCAGCGAUGUUUGAAUUAAAAAGGAUUUCAGCCACUGCUUUGUCUGCUAAAACAGGAAUGAGAACAGCUGGAUUGAGCGGUUCUGGAUGAAAUACAUGAAAAGAUGUGUAAGGAGUUUCCAGUCUAAGCUCUUGUUCU